rnacentral:rRNA from 1 species
CCCUUAGAUGUCCUGGGCCGCACGCGCGCUACACUGAGUGUCUGAGAUACGAGUCUGCCUGGUCCGGCAAGGUCUAGGUAAUCGCUAAAAGACACAUCGUGCUUGGGAUAGAUUAUUGCAAAUAUUAAUCUUGAACGAGGAAUUCCUAGUAAGCGCAAGUCAACAGCUUGCGUUUAUUACGUCCCUGCCCUUUGUACACACCGCCCGUCGCUACUACUGAUUGGAUGUUUAAGCGAGGUUCUCGAACUGCUAGCGACUUAGCUUCGGUGAGGUCGCAGUGUGGGAAGUGAACCUAGCUUUGGUGUCUAGAGGAAGUAAAAGUCGUAACA